rnacentral:rRNA from 1 species
GAACUUCCGUUAAUUGAUUAUGACGUGCUUGCACUGAAUGAGAUUUUAACACGAAGUGAGUGGCGGACGGGUGAGUAACACGUGGGUAACCUGCCCAGAAGCAGGGGAUAACACCUGGAAACAGAUGCUAAUACCGUAUAACAGAGAAAACCGCCUGGUUUUCUUUUAAAAGAUGGCUCUGCUAUCACUUCUGGAUGGACCCGCGGCGCAUUAGCUAGUUGGUGAGGUAACGGCUCACCAAGGCGAUGAUGCGUAGCCGACCUGAGAGGGUAAUCGGCCACAUUGGGACUGAGACACGGCCCAGACUCCUACGGGAGGCAGCAGUAGGGAAUCUUCCACAAUGGACGCAAGUCUGAUGGAGCAACGCCGCGUGAGUGAAGAAGGGUUUCGGCUCGUAAAGCUCUGUUGUUAAAGAAGAACGUGGGUGAGAGUAACUGUUCACCCAGUGACGGUAUUUAACCAGAAAGCCACGGCUAACUACGUGCCAGCAGCCGCGGUAAUACGUAGGUGGCAAGCGUUAUCCGGAUUUAUUGGGCGUAAAGCGAGCGCAGGCGGUCUUUUAAGUCUAAUGUGAAAGCCUUCGGCUCAACCGAAGAAGUGCAUUGGAAACUGGGAGACUUGAGUGCAGAAGAGGACAGUGGAACUCCAUGUGUAGCGGUGAAAUGCGUAGAUAUAUGGAAGAACACCAGUGGCGAAGGCGGCUGUCUGGUCUGUAACUGACGCUGAGGCUCGAAAGCAUGGGUAGCGAACAGGAUUAGAUACCCUGGUAGUCCAUGCCGUAAACGAUGAUUACUAAGUGUUGGAGGGUUUCCGCCCUUCAGUGCUGCAGCUAACGCAUUAAGUAAUCCGCCUGGGGAGUACGACCGCAAGGUUGAAACUCAAAAGAAUUGACGGGGGCCCGCACAAGCGGUGGAGCAUGUGGUUUAAUUCGAAGCUACGCGAAGAACCUUACCAGGUCUUGACAUCUUCUGCCAACCUAAGAGAUUAGGCGUUCCCUUCGGGGACAGAAUGACAGGUGGUGCAUGGUUGUCGUCAGCUCGUGUCGUGAGAUGUUGGGUUAAGUCCCGCAACGAGCGCAACCCUUAUUACUAGUUGCCAGCAUUCAGUUGGGCACUCUAGUGAGACUGCCGGUGACAAACCGGAGGAAGGUGGGGACGACGUCAAAUCAUCAUGCCCCUUAUGACCUGGGCUACACACGUGCUACAAUGGAUGGUACAACGAGUCGCGAAACCGCGAGGUUUAGCUAAUCUCUUAAAACCAUUCUCAGUUCGGACUGUAGGCUGCAACUCGCCUACACGAAGUCGGAAUCGCUAGUAAUCGCGGAUCAGCAUGCCGCGGUGAAUACGUUCCCGGGCCUUGUACACACCGCCCGUCACACCAUGAGAGUUUGUAACACCCAAAGCCGGUGGGGUAA